rnacentral:lncRNA from 1 species
UUGGGACUGCUGCUCUUUUUUUUUUCUCCUCAAAUUUUACUGAAGGUAACUAAAGACGGAGAUUUAGAUUAAACCCAUUUAGCAGAGAGCUAACCAGUGGAAAACAGUUACUCAAAAGAUGCUAACAAUAACAGGUGAUGGUGACCUCAAUGGAAGACAGAAGACCUGGCCAAAAACCCAACUUCUUGCCACUUGGGAGCAUUAGCAACUCUGGUUCAAAGGACUUUAGUUCAUUCACUGCAAGCAUUCCUUAUCUCUUUCAAAAUCUCACUAUCUUUUUAUUUCCAGCCACAAUGAUUCUCUUUUCACUCAAUUAAUCCUUCACAGUAGUAUUUUUAGGAUGCAAACAGUCCUAAAUUAGGAUCAACCCCAAAGCUACACAAAGUAAAAAGUAUACUUUAUACAACAUAUGUUGUGUGAGGAAAUCCAAGUUGACUUCAAAAAAUGGUAAAAUCUAAAAAAAAAAAAAAAAAGGUAAAAUCUGAGCUGGGUCUUCAAUGAUGACUAUGAGCCCACCUUGGCUUACCACGGCACUUAAAUGUUUGUUGGGUGAAUGAGUUGGGCAGGAAGGGGAGGAGAAGCGCAGGAAGCAUAGGGAGAGUCGAUAAGGUAACAGGGAGAUGCCAAAGAAGAUGAGAUGUUAAGGGCGUUUCAGAAGUUUGUGUGAGUGAGGCAGAGGGUACUAUGGGAAGUGCACAGGAAAAAAUGGGAGGUCAGUGAGGGCCAUGUCUGUCAUGCUGUGCUAAGGAACCAG